rnacentral:misc_RNA from 1 species
GUAUAAGGUUUAUAGGCACAAGGGCCCAAUGAUACAUUCUGUUACAUACAAUGGGGUAUAUGAAAAACGUAGGCCUGGAAAUGCAAGGAAAGCCAAUAAGCAGUCCUCCCGACCGAGUUGCCUCGGAAAGUCAAUCCAAGUCUACAAGAGGUGCACAGGUGGAGAGAUGAGGAUGGCGGGUGUGCACAUGCCCCCGAGAGGGCCAGCGACAACCACACCAAGUUCAUUCAAUAAUGAUCCUUCCGCAGGUUCACCUACGGAAA